UACACCUGUUCUCAUGCCGAACACAGAAGUUAAG
rnacentral:rRNA from 5 species